GUGUGCGUCUUCCCACUCGGUUGCUCUUUGCCGUGCGCCUUUGUGGGCCUUUUUGCACACAACAACGAAAUGGCUCGGUAUCGUACUCCCUUGUCCCAUACAGUGGUCAAGGGAGUUGGUUAACCGCGCAAUAUAAUC
rnacentral:snoRNA from 1 species